rnacentral:lncRNA from 1 species
CACCCACGGGGACUGCCAGCCCCCCUGGGCUUGGCACAGUGGAGGGGAGCCUCCACCACAGUGGAGGAGAGACACACCCAAGGCCCUGGAUGUGCCCGGCUCUCUGCAGCUGUGGGUGCCUCAGGCCGGCCGCCGAUGGGUCUCAGUUUCUGAGGGGGUGGCAGUGAAGUUGCAGAGAAGAAACCUAUGAAGGUGCCCUGUCAACUGCCACACGCCGAGAUGCACAUUGACAGCCCAUCACCGCCUCUUGCCUGUCCUCCCCGGGGACCGGCAGAUCAUGGGAGAUGAUUUGUCAAGGGGAGACACAUUUGGGUGACACCAAGCCGAGCUUCCUGUCUUGAGACGCUUUCUGCUUUCUCAUCUUCCUGCUAAUGAGUUGCCUUUUGUGUGUAUCCCACUUCCUGUCCCACCCAGCCCCAAAUGUCCGUGGAACCGGCCCCACUAACCUGCAUCCAGCUGCCUCUUCCACCUGGGCCCUGCUCUCAGAUGGAAGUGUCACCAAACACCC